GGAUAGCUCAGUUGGCUAGAGCAUGUUGCUGAUAAUGCCAAGGUUGCAGGUUUGAUCCCCAUAUGCAACA